AGCUUUGCGCAGUGGUGGUAUCAUAGCCAAUGAGGUUUAUCUGAGGUGCGAUUAUUGCUAAUAUUUCCUUAUAUACUUAUACUCUCCCACGUUCUUCAUUCCUCCUUUCAAUUUGUGCUUCCAUUUGGU
rnacentral:snRNA from 1 species